UACAGAUGCGGGCAUGGAGUUCCUCCCACGUAUCCUGUGGACCAAGGCCUCAUAAAGCUGUGUCUGUUGGACCAUUUGAUGCGACUAGGAUGUGGUGACCAUUUCACUAAGGAAAUAGCAGAUGCCAUGGAUCACAUUUAUCGGUAAGCUUACAAUUUUAGCCUCUCUUCCUACUUGAAUAUUUUUUAAUUUUUCGGUCAUGUUAUAUCAACUUCGUUUUUAAUUUUUUUGAAUUUCAUCAACUUAUCUCAAUCUUCCGUAGGAGAGGGAAAAUGCCAGCUUGUUUAUAGUUUUCAUACUGUUUUCCUCAAAUGCUAUAUUAUGUUUUGAGGUCUCUGAUACACGAUUUUUUUUUCUAGUUAUCAUCACCAAUGAUCACUUAGCUGAAGCACGGUUCUGUGCAAACAAGGGCGAUUAGUUGACAAUUCACCACCUAUUUGAACUUUAAUUUUUUAAAUAGUUUAUUUUUUAAAAAAUAAAAAUUAAAAAUUAGAAGCUUCGCCAAAGAUUAUGUGUCUAGUGGUUACAUUAAAACUCUACAAUAUUAUCCAUCUAGCUCACAAUGCAUUCUAUUACCUACAAUAUCUUUUUGAUAAAAAAUAAUCUUCAAUAUCUUAUUGUUGUUAUUAUCAUUGUUUUUGUUGUUGCUGUUAUUAAUACUAUUAUUACUAUUGUAGUGCUUAUAUGAAGAAUGAUAUGUAGAUAAAUUUUAUAAAAGGACAUAUCAACUAUCAUCAAAUGUUUGCUCUGAUGGUAUUAUCUCUCAUCCGAACUUUUGUUUUUGAGCGAGAGUUGGAAGUUCGAUUUUGGAUGGUAUAAGCCCUUGCUCCAACUUGCCUGAUCAUAGCCGGCUAGUCUAAGGGGUUGGAAUAUAACAUAGCCAUGCUAUUCAUGAGCCCAUAAUUGGUACUCCUCGUGUAGGAAUUGGGGUACAAAGGAGCUACAACUGUCUAUAAUGCACAAUUUGCCACUCCAAAUAUUCAGGGAUUCUUUAGCUUUUCAACUCCUGAGGAGGCACGGCCAUCGAAAAUCUCCAGAUUGAGCACGAGUUGAAGAAUCUGUGGUUAGCAUGAAUGGAUCAUUUAGAGCAUCGGAUGUACAUAGAAAGAAGUAAAGACUAUAAUCUAUGGAUUGGAAAGUCCUCCUCUUGUAGGCUGACAUGCCCUGACCACAUUAUCCAGUUUGCUACAAAAAAUUUCGUGACUCGCCAAUCAAUCUACAGGACAAAACUCGAGGAACUAAAGAGGUGGUCCAAAGAUAUGGGCCUUGCCAACAUGGGCUUUGGACGAGAGAAAACAACAAACUGCUCCUUCCUUGCUUCCGCUCCCAUUUCCUUUCCUUUAGAUUCUGAGGCGU